rnacentral:rRNA from 1 species
AAAGAGAGGCAAGACCGCGAGGUGGAGCAAAUCUCAAAAAGCCGUCCCAGUUCGGAUCGCAGGCUGCAACCCGCCUGCGUGAAGUUGGAAUCGCUAGUAAUCGCGGAUCAGCAUGCCGCGGUGAAUACGUUCCCGGGCCUUGUACACACCGCCCGUCACACCAUGAGAGUCGGGAACACCCGAAGUCCGUAGCCUAACCGCAAGGGGGGCGCGGCCGAAGGUGGGUUCGAUAAUUGGGGUGAAGUCGUAACAAGGUAUC